AACUAACGCUGGCGGCAGGCCUAACACAUGCAAGUCGAACGCUGUAGCAAUACAGAGUGGCAGACGGGUGAGUAACGCGUGGGAACCUUCCCAAUGGUGCGGAAUAGCCCAGGGAAACUUGGGGUAAUACCGCAUAAGCCCUUAGGGGGAAAGAUUUAUCGCCAUUGGAUGGGCCCGCGUCGGAUUAGCUAGUUGGUGAGGUAAUGGCUCACCAAGGCAACGAUCCGUAGCUGGUUUGAGAGAAUGACCAGCCACACUGGGACUGAGACACGGCCCAGACUCCUACGGGAGGCAGCAGUGGGGAAUCUUGGACAAUGGGCGAAAGCCUGAUCCAGCCAUGCCGCGUGAGUGACGAAGGCCUUAGGGUUGUAAAGCUCUUUUGCCGGGGACGAUAAUGACGGUACCCGGAGAAUAAGUCCCGGCUAACUUCGUGCCAGCCGCCGCGGUAAUAC
rnacentral:rRNA from 1 species